rnacentral:rRNA from 1 species
GCAUAUCAAUAAGCGGAGGAAAAGAAACCAACAGGGAUUGCCUUAGUAGCGGCGAGUGAAGCGGCAAUAGCUCAAAUUUGAAAUCUGGCGUCUUCGGCGUCCGAGUUGUAAUUUGAAGAAGGUAUCUUUGAGGCUGGCUCUUGUCUAUGUUCCUUGGAACAGGACGUCACAGAGGGUGAGAAUCCCGUGCGAUGAGAUGUCCAGCUUCGUGUAAAGUUCCUUCGACGAGUCGAGUUGUUUGGGAAUGCAGCUCUAAGUGGGUGGUAAAUUCCAUCUAAAGCUAAAUAUUGGCGAGAGACCGAUAGCGAACAAGUACUGUGAAGGAAAGAUGAAAAGAACUUUGAAAAGAGAGUGAAAAAGUACGUGAAAUUGUUGAAAGGGAAGGGCUUGAGGUCAGACUUGGUUUACCAGGCCAGCAUCAGUUUGGAUGGCGGGAUAAUAGCGGAGGAAUGUGGCUCGGUUUCGGUCGAGUGUUAUAGCCUUCGUUGAUACCGCCUGUCUAGACUGAGGACUGCGUCUUUGACUAGGAUGCUGGCAUAAUGACCUUAAGCCGCCCGUCUUGAAACACGGACC